AUUGAACGCUGGCGGCAGGCCUAACACAUGCAAGUCGAGUGAGCGGCGGACGGGUGAGUAAUGUAUGGGGACUGCCCGAUAGAGGGGGAUAACUACUGGAAACGGUAGCUAAUACCGCAUACUAUCGGAUAACCCAUAUGGGAUUAGCUAGUAGGUGAGGUAAUGGCUCACCUAGGCGACGAUCCCUAGCUGGUCUGAGAGGAUGAUCAGCCAAACGGGGACGGAGGAACGGCCCAGACGCCUACGGAGGCAGCAGUGGGGAAUAUUGCACAAUGGGGGCAAGCCUGAUGCAGCCAUGCCGCGUGUAUGAAGAAGGCCCUAGGGUUGGAAAGGACCUUCAGGCGGGAGGCGUUACCGACAGAAGAAGCACCGGCUAACUCCGUGCCAGCAGCCGCGGUAAUUC
rnacentral:rRNA from 1 species